UACGGGGGGGGCAAGCGUUGUUCGGAAUUACUGGGCGUAAAGGGCUCGUAGGCGGCCAACUAAGUCAGACGUGAAAUCCCUCGGCUUAACCGGGGAACUGCAUCCGAUACUGGCGGGCUUGAAUCCGGGAGAGGGAUGUGGAAUUCCAGGUGUAGCGGUGAAAUGCGUAGAUAUCUGGAGGAACACCGGUGGCGAAGGCGGCAUCCUGGACCGGUAUUGACGCUGAGGCGCGAAAGCUAGGGGAGCAAACGGG
rnacentral:rRNA from 1 species